AACGAACGCUGGCGGCAGGCUUAACACAUGCAAGUCGAACGGUUGUAGCAAUACAUCAGUGGCAGACGGGUGAGUAACACGUGGGAACCUUCCUCGAUGUACGGAACAACUCAGGGAAACUUGAGCUAAUACCGUAUACGUCCGAGAGGAGAAAGAUUUAUCGCAUUGAGACGGGCCCGCGUCGGAUUAGCUAGUUGGUGGGGUAACGGCCUACCAAGGCGACGAUCCGUAGCUGAUCUGAGAGGAUGAUCAGCCACACUGGGACUGAGACACGGCCCAGACUCCUACGGGAGGCAGCAGUGGGGAAUCUUGGACAAUGGGCGCAAGCCUGAUCCAGCCAUGCCGCGUGAGUGAAGAAGGCCUUCGGGUUGUAAAGCUCUUUUGUCAGGGACGAUAAUGACGGUACCUGAAGAAUAAGCCCCGGCAAACUUCGUGCCAGCCGCCGCGGUAAAAC
rnacentral:rRNA from 1 species